AGAGUGCGUAAUAGCUCACUAGUCGAGAGGUCCUGCGCCGAAAAUGUCCGGGGCUAAAACACACUGCCGAAGCUUUGGAAUUGAAUUAAUUCAAUUGGUAGAGGAGCAUUCUUAAAGGGACGAAGCAGUACCGUAAGGAGCUGUGGACUUUUAAGAAGAGAGAAUGCCGGAAUGAGUAGCGAGAGGAAGGUGGGAAUCCUUCCGGCCGAAUAUCUAAGGUUUCCAGAGUAAAGCUGAUCUGCUCUGGGUAAGUCGGGGCCUAAGGCGAGGUCGAAAGACGUAGUCGAUGGAUAACAGGUUGAAAUUCCUGUACUAUCCUGUAACAGAACUGUGGGGACACAGGCAGAGAGCGUGAGCCGGGAAUGGAAAGACCGGUACAAGCGAGGUAGGAGAAGAGUUGGCAAAUCCGCUCUUUAAUCUGAAGACGUGAUGUGGACUGAAAAUAAGUAGGGAAGCACGUGAGCUGACUGUCAAGAAAAGCCGCUAUUGUUUGCAGGAUACCCGUACCGUAAACCGACACAGGUGGAUGAGGAGAGAAUCCUAAGGCCGACGGGAGAAGCAUUGUUAAGGAACUCGGCAAAAUGACUCCGUAACUUCGGGAGAAGGAGUGCCAUGUAAAAGUGGCCGCAGAGAAUUGGCCCAAGCAACUGUUUAGCAAAAACACAGGUCUAUGCAAAACCGAAAGGUGAGGUAUAUGGGCUGACGCCUGCCCGGUGCUGGAAGGUUAAGGGGAGAGGUUAGCGCAAGCGAAGCUUUGAACUUAAGCCCCAGUAAACGGCGGCCGUAACUAUAACGGUCCUAAGGUAGCGAAAUUCCUUGUCGGGUAAGUUCCGACCCGCACGAAAGGCGUAAUGAUUUGGGCACUGUCUCAACAAUGCACCCGGUGAAAUUGAAAUACCAGUGAAGAUGCUGGUUACCUGCGCCAGGACGGAAAGACCCCAUGGAGCUUUACUCCAGCUUGAUACUGGGAUUCGGUAUUGCAUGUACAGGAUAGGUGGGAGGCUAGGAAAUGGUAACGCCAGUUGCCAUGGAGCCGAUGUUGGGAUACCACCCUUGCAGUACUGGGUUUCUAACCAGCAGCCGUGAUCCGGCUGGGGGACAAUGUCAGGUGGGGAGUUUGACUGGGGCGGUCGCCUCCGAAAGGGUAUCGGAGGCGCUCAAAGGUUCCCUCAGAAUGGUUGGAAACCAUUCGAAGAGUGCAAAGGCAGAAGGGAGCUUGACUGCGACACCGACGGGUGGAGCAGGUACGAAAGUAGGACUUAGUGAUCCGGUGGUAUAAAGUGGGAUUGCCAUCGCUCAACGGAUAAAAGCUACCCUGGGGAUAACAGGCUUAUCACUCCCAAGAGUUCACAUCGACGGAGUGGUUUGGCACCUCGAUGUCGGCUCAUCGCAUCCUGGGGCUGUAGUAGGUCCCAAGGGUUGGGCUGUUCGCCCAUUAAAGCGGUACGCGAGCUGGGUUCAGAACGUCGUGAGACAGUUCGGUCCCUAUCCGGCGCAGGCGGAGGAAAUUUGAUAGGAGCUGUCCUUAGUACGAGAGGACCGGGAUGGACGGACCGCUGGUGUAUCUGUUGUACUGCCAAGUGCAUAGCAGAGUAGCCAAGUCUGGAAGGGAUAAACGCUGAAGGCAUCUAAGCGUGAAGCCCCCCUAAAGAUAAGAUUUCCCAUACCAUAAGGUAGUAAGACCCCUUGAAGACGACGAGGUAGAUAGGGCAGAGGUGGAAGUACGGUAACGUAUGGAGCUGACUGUUACUAAUCGGUCGAGGCUUUAACCAA
rnacentral:rRNA from 1 species